UACAGAGGUCUCAAGCGUUGUUCGGAUUCAUUGGGCGUAAAGCGUGCGCAGGCGGUUUUGUAAGCCAGAUGUGAAAUCCCCGAGCUUAACCUGGGAAUGGCAUUUGGGACUGCAAGGCUGGAGUUUGGCAGAGGAGACUGGAAUUCCCGGUGUAGCAGUGAAAUGCGUAGAUAUCGGGAGGAAUACCGAUGGCGAAGGCAGGUCUCUGGGCUAUAACUGACGCUCAUGCACGAAAGCGUGGGGAGCAAACGGG
rnacentral:rRNA from 1 species